rfam:Buceros rhinoceros silvestris contig79471, whole genome shotgun sequence.
GCUGUGAUGGCCGAGUGGUGAAGGCGUUGGACUUGAAAUCCAAUAGGGUUUCCCUGCGCAGGUUCAAAUCCUGCUCACAGCG